rnacentral:rRNA from 1 species
GAACGCUAGCGACAGGCUAACACAUGCAAGUCGAGGGGCAGCAUAGAAGUAGCAAUACGUUGGUGGCGACCGGCGCACGGGUGAGUAACGCGUAUGCAACCUACCUAUCAGAGGGGAAUAACCCGGCGAAAGUCGGACUAAUACCGCAUAAAACAGGGGCACCGCAUGGUGAUAUUUGUUAAAGAAAUUCGCUGAUAGAUGGGCAUGCGUUCCAUUAGGUAGUUGGUGAGGUAACGACUCACCAAGCCGACGAUGGAUAGGGAACUGAGAGGUUGGUCCCCCACACUGGUACUGAGACACGGACCAGACUCCUACGGGAGGCAGCAGUGAGGAAUAUUGGUCAAUGGGCGGGAGCCUGAACCAGCCAAGUCGCGUGAAGGAAGAAGGAUCUAUGGUUCGUAAACUUCUUUUGCAGGGGAAUAAAGUGCAGGACGUGUCCUGUUUUGUUAUGUACCCUGAGAAUAAGGAUCGGCUAACUCCGUGCCAGCCGCCGC